rnacentral:lncRNA from 1 species
CCGACGGGUUAACAUCACUGCUGAGGAACUGCACUAUUGAUCGUCUUCAAUAAAGUCUUCUCUCCGUAAGAACUUUGGUCAGCUUACUUGUUUUAUGUAUUAGAGUAAUCUAAUACAUUGGCGAGCCACCCAAGAACGGUUAAGCCAAAUACAGCAAAAUCUAACAAUUUGGCGAAGCCAGCCAGGAGAGACUGAAAAGAGGAAAACUCAUCAACUGCAACAAGAAAUGAACUGAAGAAUCUUGGAGAAUCUACAGUUAAAGCUGAAGAUAAACGGAUUUUGUUUGUGGACGAGUCCUGGAUCUACAUAUUGUAUCUGUGGACACACUUUAUUUUAAUCAACUGGAUCUCAUCUCAAAGAUCCUAGUGUUCCGAUGUUCCAGAGAAUGACCAGAGACACACAACACCAGACACCUAGAUGAACACACCUGAACAUUCACAGAACACAACCAUAUCCGCUACUUCCACUACAUCACAACUUCAAAUAGAAAUGGACUCAGGCAUUUAAGGAAAUGCAAGCUUCACCAUGCCUUGUUAUUCUGUCACUUUAAGUUAUAUAGCCUGUAUUGCAGAUUGCUGUAUACAUGAUUAACUUGUUUUAUGAUCAAAUAUGAUCAGAGGAGGGAUUGAAAGAUUAUGUGCAUUUUAGUUCAGUUGCAUUUACAUUGAUUAAACUGAUGUGAUAUGAUGGGUUGACCUGUGCCUCGACCCCCACAAACUGAUAGGUGUGAACUAAAUGACCCUUUUACAAUCUCAAUGGGUAUUAGCAAAACAACAGCUGAAACAUCUGAAGAGGGUCCUGCUGAGCCUCGUAAACAGAAUUGUUUGUUUGAUGCUAAUAUAAAGUACUGUCUCACAGACAGUACUUUGGGUUAAGUUACUUGAAGACCGACGGGUUAACAUCACUGCUGAGGAACUGCACUAUUGAUCGUCUUCAAUAAAGUCUUCUCUCCGUAA